UACAUGGGCUCCAAGCGUUAUCCGGAUUUAUUGGGCGUAAAGGGUCUCCAGGUGGUCUGGUUAGUCGGGCGUUAAAUUCCGCUGCUUAACGGCGGAGCUGCGUUCGAAACGGCCAAACUCGAGGGAUGGAGAGGGAGUAGGAACUCACGGUGUAGCGGUGAAAUGCGUAGAUAUCUGGAGGAACACCGGUGGCGAAGGCGGCAUCCUGGACCGGUAUUGACGCUGAGGAGCGAAAGCCAGGGGAGCAAACGGG
rnacentral:rRNA from 1 species